rnacentral:rRNA from 1 species
AGACCCGAAACCCGGUGAUCUAGCCAUGGGCAGGUUGAAGGUUGGGUAACACUAACUGGAGGACCGAACCGACUAAUGUUGAAAAAUUAGCGGAUGACCUGUGGCUGGGGGUGAAAGGCCAAUCAAACCGGGAGAUAGCUGGUUCUCCCCGAAAGCUAUUUAGGUAGCGCCUCGUGAAUUCAUCUCCGGGGGUAGAGCACUGUUUCGGCUAGGGGGCCAUCCCGGCUUACCAACCCGAUGCAAACUGCGAAUACCGGAGAAUGUUAUCACGGGAGACACACGGCGGGUGCUAACGUCCGUCGUGAAGAGGGAAACAACCCAGACCGCCAGCUAAGGUCCCAAAGUCAUGGUUAAGUGGGAAACGAUGUGGGAAGGCCCAGACAGCCAGGAUGUUGGCUUAGAAGCAGCCAUCAUUUAAAGAAAGCGUAAUAGCUCACUGGUCGAGUCGGCCUGCGCGGAAGAUGUAACGGGGCUAAACCAUGCACCGAAGCUGCGGCAGCGAACGUAUCACUUAAAGCGAUUCAGCGGGUUACGAUUGACGGAGCGAAGCGACGUCAAAGCGUAUACAAAGUCGAGUCGGUUUAAGGAUACGUUCGUUGGGUAGGGGAGCGUUCUGUAAGCCUGUGAAGGUGUGUCGUGAGGCAUGCUGGAGGUAUCAGAAGUGCGAAUGCUGACAUAAGUAACGAUAAAGCGGGUGAAAAGCCCGCUCGCCGGAAGACCAAGGGUUCCUGUCCAACGUUAAUCGGGGCAGGGUGAGUCGACCCCUAAGGCGAGGCCGAAAGGCGUAGUCGAUGGGAAACGGGUUAAUAUUCCCGUACUUGGUGUUACUGCGAAGGGGGGACGGAGAAGGCUAUGUUGGCCGGGCGACGGUUGUCCCGGUUUAAGCGUGUAGGUGUGUGUUCCAGGUAAAUCCGGUUCACUUUAACACUGAGGCGUGAUGACGAGGCACUACGGUGCUGAAGCAACAAAUGCCCUGCUUCCAGGAAAAGCCUCUAAGCAUCAGGUAACAUCAAAUCGUACCCCAAACCGACACAGGUGGUCAGGUAGAGAAUACCAAGGCGCUUGAGAGAACUCGGGUGAAGGAACUAGGCAAAAUGGUGCCGUAACUUCGGGAGAAGGCACGCUGACAUGUAGGUGAAGUGAUUUACUCAUGGAGCUGAAGUCAGUCGAAGAUACCAGCUGGCUGCAACUGUUUAUUAAAAACACAGCACUGUGCAAACACGAAAGUGGACGUAUACGGUGUGACGCCUGCCCGGUGCCGGAAGGUUAAUUGAUGGGGUCAGCGCAAGCGAAGCUCCUGAUCGAAGCCCCGGUAAACGGCGGCCGUAACUAUAACGGUCCUAAGGUAGCGAAAUUCCUUGUCGGGUAAGUUCCGACCUGCACGAAUGGCGUAAUGAUGGCCAGGCUGUCUCCACCCGAGACUCAGUGAAAUUGAACUCGCUGUGAAGAUGCAGUGUACCCGCGGCAAGACGGAAAGACCCCGUGAACCUUUACUAUAGCUUGACACUGAACAUUGAGCCUUGAUGUGUAGGAUAGGUGGGAGGCUUUGAAGCGUGGACGCCAGUCUGCGUGGAGCCGACCUUGAAAUACCACCCUUUAAUGUUUGAUGUUCUAACGUGGAUCCGUAAUCCGGGUUGCGGACAGUGUCUGGUGGGUAGUUUGACUGGGGCGGUCUCCUCCUAAAGAGUAACGGAGGAGCACGAAGGUUGGCUAAUCCUGGUCGGACAUCAGGAGGUUAGUGCAAUGGCAUAAGCCAGCUUGACUGCGAGCGUGACGGCGCGAGCAGGUGCGAAAGCAGGUCAUAGUGAUCCGGUGGUUCUGAAUGGAAGGGCCAUCGCUCAACGGAUAAAAGGUACUCCGGGGAUAACAGGCUGAUACCGCCCAAGAGUUCAUAUCGACGGCGGUGUUUGGCACCUCGAUGUCGGCUCAUCACAUCCUGGGGCUGAAGUAGGUCCCAAGGGUAUGGCUGUUCGCCAUUUAAAGUGGUACGCGAGCUGGGUUUAGAACGUCGUGAGACAGUUCGGUCCCUAUCUGCCGUGGGCGCUGGAGAACUGAGGGGGGCUGCUCCUAGUACGAGAGGACCGGAGUGGACGCAUCACUGGUGUUCGGGUUGUCAUGCCAAUGGCACUGCCCGGUAGCUAAAUGCGGAAGAGAUAAGUGCUGAAAGCAUCUAAGCACGAAACUUGCCCCGAG